rnacentral:rRNA from 1 species
UACGGGGGGAGCAAGCGUUGUUCGGAUUUACUGGGCGUAAAGGGCGCGUAGGCGGCGCAACAAGUCACUUGUGAAAUCUCCGGGCUUAACUCGGAAAGGUCAACUGAUACUGUGCGACUAGAGUGCAGAAGGGGCAACUGGAAUUCUCGGUGUAGCGGUGAAAUGCGUAGAUAUCGAGAGGAACACCUGCGGCGAAGGCGGGUUGCUGGGCUGACACUGACGCUGAUGCGCGAAAGCCAGGGAGCGAAGCGGG